rnacentral:rRNA from 1 species
UCGCGGCCUAUCAGCUUGUUGGUGAGGUAAUGGCUCACCAAGGCGACGACGGGUAGCCGGCCUGAGAGGGUGACCGGCCACACUGGGACUGAGACACGGCCCAGACUCCUACGGGAGGCAGCAGUGGGGAAUAUUGCACAAUGGGCGCAAGCCUGAUGCAGCAACGCCGCGUGGGGGACGAAGGCCUUCGGGUUGUAAACCCCUUUUAGCAGGGAAGAAGCGCAAGUGACGGUACCUGCAGAAAAAGCACCGGCUAACUACGUGCCAGCAGCCGCGGUAAUACGUAGGGUGCAAGCGUUGUCCGGAAUUAUUGGGCGUAAAGAGCUCGUAGGCGGUGUGUCGCGUCUGCUGUGAAAAUCCAAGGCUCAACCUUGGACCUGCAGUGGGUACGGGCACACUAGAGUGCGGUAGGGGAGAUUGGAAUUCCUGGUGUAGCGGUGGAAUGCGCAGAUAUCAGGAGGAACACCGAUGGCGAAGGCAGUUCUCUGGGCCGUUACUGACGCUGAGGAGCGAAAGCGUGGGGAGCGAACAGGAUUAGAUACCCUGGUAGUCCACGCCGUAAACGGUGGGUGCUAGCUGUGGGCCACAUUCCACGUGGUCCGUGACGAAGUUAACACAUUAAGCACCCCGCCUGGGGAGUACGG